GCUGCGUCUCCUCCAGGCCUCACAUCUAGAUUCCAGAUAUGAAGGAUGAGAAAGGCCAAGGGACAGUGGAGGUGGGGAGAGAAGGAAAGGACUGCAUAUGUAUCAGGAAAGCAGAAGUUUUCAUAGAAAGCCCAGCUUCAGCCUUACUGAUUAGAACUGCACCAGAUGGCCACCCCUAGUUGCAAGACAGAUGGGGGAGCAAGCUUGUUAUCUGGACACACUGCAUGCUUGAAAAAAGUUGGAGUUCCACUAGUAAGAAAGAAGAGAGAUAUUGGAUGAACAGCAACCAUUGUCUACUAUGUGCCUGGGACAAGGUUAAUUCCUACAAGUGAAAUUGCUGGAUCGAAGCACAUGGACAAGAAGUAUCUGUGGCACUUAUUGCAGAAAGUUUGCAUUGGUGGAACCUCGAGUGUCUGCUUUCCCACAUCCUUACCAGCACUGAGAAUUUUCUUUUUCAUGUUUUCCACCUCUCUGAAAUAAAAUUAAUACCUGAUUUUGUUUGCAAUUUCAUUUUUACUGAGGCUGCAUAAUUUUUCAUAUACUUAUUUUUCUAUGAAUUGCCUGAGGAUAUUAAAUUUUGUUACCAUAGCCAAUGCCCAUAGAGGCAUUUGUUCAGUGUCAACUUACAUCAAAAGUGCCUCUCCCAGCCUCUUCUCUCACCACUCUGCUCAUGCACCCAUCCUAAAGUCAAGAAUCAGAGUUGUAAGCAACAGAAACCACCUCUGGCUACUUUGAGUGGAAAUGGAAUUUAAUAAAGGAUAUUUUGUGAUCAGACAAUCCCCAUGAGAAACAGAGAACC
rnacentral:lncRNA from 1 species